rnacentral:rRNA from 1 species
UGGGGGAUAUUGCACAAUGGGCGAAAGCCUGAUGCAGCGACGCCGCGUGGGGGAUGAAGGCUUUCGGGUUGUAAACCUCUUUCGCUAUCGAACAAGGCCCGCUUAGGGUGGGUUGAGGGUAGGUGGAGAAGAAGCGCCGGCUAACUACGUGCCAGCAGCCGCGGUAAUACGUAGGGCGCGAGCGUUGUCCGGAAUUAUUGGGCGUAAAGGGCUUGUAGGCGGCUUGUUGCGCCUGCUGUGAAAACGCGGGGCUUAACUUCGCGCGUGCAGUGGGUACGGGCAGGCUUGAGUGUGGUAGGGGUGACAGGAAUUCCAGGUGUAGCGGUGGAAUGCGCAGAUAUCUGGAGGAACACCGAUGGCGAAGGCAGGUCACUGGGCCAUUACUGACGCUGAGGAGCGAAAGCAUGGGUAGCGAACAGG